rnacentral:snoRNA from 1 species
AUAUAGGAUGAAAAAGAGCUAUACGCUCGAAACCCAGCUCGUCGAGGCGGGAGUAACGCCCCACUGUGCCUAUGAGAUGUUGUUUUAUGCUGAAUAUCCUGUCUUCAUUA